rnacentral:rRNA from 1 species
UUGGAGGGCAAGUCUGGUGCCUGCAGCCGCGGUAAUUCCAGCUCCAAUAGCGUAUAUUAAAGUUGUUGCAGUUAAAAAGCUCGUAGUUGAAUUUCGGGAUUAGUACGUUGGUCGUGCCUUAGGUACGUACUGGUGUUACUGGUUCCUACCUUCUGACGAACCAUCAUGUCAUUAAUUUGGUGUGGCGGGGAAUCAGGACUGUUACUUUGAAAAAAUUAGAGUGUUUAAAGCAGGCUCGCGCUUGAAUACAUUAGCAUGGAAUAAUGAAAUAGGACGUUGACCCUAUUUUGUUGGUUUCUAGGAUUGACGUAAUGAUUAAUAGGGAUAGUUGGGGGCAUUAGUAUUCAAUUGUCAGAGGUGAAAUUCUUGGAUUUAUUGAAGACUAACUACUGCGAAAGCAUUUGCCAAGGAUGUUUUCAUUAAUCAAGAACGAAAGUUAGGGGAUCGAAGACGAUCAGAUACCGUCGUAGUCUUAACCAUAAACUAUGCCGACUAGGGAUCGGAUGAUGUUAAUUUUUUAAUGACUCAUUCGGCGCCUUACGGGAAAC